rnacentral:rRNA from 1 species
AUGCCGUUCGGGUUAACCAAUGCCCCGGCAACAUUCCAGUGCUUGAUGAAUGCCAUCUUCGCCAAGUAUACGCGUAAGUUUGUCAUCAUAUUCCUUGACGACAUUCUCGUUUUCAGUGAGACCCUGGAAGAACACAUCGAGCACCUCCGCCUCGUCCUCAACCUGCUCCGCGAGCAUCAGCUGUACGCCAAGUUGUCCAAGUGCUCGUUUGCCCAGGACCACAUCGACUACCUGGGUCACAUCAUCUCCAAGCAGGGUUAUCUCUUGCCACGGAGCAACUAG